ensembl:lncRNA
GAAAUACUGCAUCAAACACCCUAGUUAAUGUAAAAUUGUGCUACUAAAAUGUCAAUUAAUUACAGAUUUUGAGUUCUCUUAAAUUCAUUCUGGGGGUCAGACACUGACGUUUUGCUUCCUUCGCCCGCUUUGAGGAUAACACGGUGCCACUGACGCAGCCUGCUCCCAAGGACUGUGGGUUCUCAUUCUCCGUGGCCGACCUAAGACAUUUUAAGCGUGUUAACCCCCGCCAGGCAGACGGCAUCCCUUGCAGCGUCCUCAGAGCAUGCGCAGACCAUCUGGCUGGAGUGUUUACAGAUAUAUUCAAUCUCCCUAUCCCAGUCUGCUGUCCCCACUUGCUUCAAGAUGUCCACCAUUGUUCCUGUACCCAAGAAAGCAAAGAUCCACAGACGAUGCAAUCACACUGCCCUAACCCAUCUGGACAAGAGGAAUACCUACGUAAGAAUGCAGUUAAUUUAAUAUAGCUCAGUCUUCAACACCAUAGUACCCACCAAGCUAGAGGGCAAUGGGUCUGAACCCUGCCCUGAGCAACUGGGUCCUGGACUACCUGAUGGGCUGCCCCCAGCUGGUGAAGGUAAAAAAACAACAACACCCACUUCGCUGAUCCUCAACACAGGAACCCCACAAGUGUACUCCCUGUUCACCCAAGACUCCUUGGCCACGCACGCCUCCAACUCAAUCAUCAAGUUUGCAGACGACACAAUAGUAGUAGGCCGGAUUACCAACAAUGACGAGUUCGCCUACAGGGAGGAGGUGAGGGCCCUGGUGGAGUGGUACCAGGAAAAUAACCUCUCACUCAAUGUCAACAAAAUGAAGGCGCUGAUCGUUGACUUAAUGAAACAGCAGAGGGAGCACGCCCCUAUCCACAUCGACGGGACUGCAGUGGAGAAAGUGGAAAGCUUCAAGUUCCUCAACGUACACAUCACUGACCAUCUGAAAUGGUCCACCCACACAGACAGUGUGGUGAAGAAGGCGCAACAGCGGCUCUUCAAUCACAGGAGGGUGAAGAAAUUUGUCUUGGCCCCUAAGACCCUCACAAACUAUUACAGAUGCACAAUUGAAAGCAUCAUGUCAGGCUGUAUCACAGACUGGUAGGGCAACUGCACUUCCCGCAACUGCAGGGCUCUUCAGAGGGUGAUGCGGUCUGCCCAACGCAUCACCGAUGGCACACUGUCCCCCCAGGACACCUACAGAACCCAAUGUCUCAGGAAAGCCAAAAAGAUCAUCAAGGACAUCCCUCACCUGAGCCACAGCCUGUUCACCCUGCCAUUAUCCAGAAGGCAAAGUCAGUACAGGUGCAUCAAAGCUGGGACCGAGACUGAAAAACAACUUUUAUCUCAAGGUCAUCAGACACUUAAAUAGCCAACACUAGCCAGCUACCACCUGGUCACUCAACCCUGCACCUUAGAGGCUGCUCUAUAUACAUAGACAUGGAAUCACUGGACACUUUAAUAAUGUAACACUAGUCACUUUAAUAAUGUUUACAUACUACUUUACUCAUCUCAUAUGUAUAUACUGUAUUCUAUUCUACUGUAUUUUAGUCAAUGCCACUGACAUUGCUUGUCCUAAUAUAUACAGUAUCGGUCAAAAGUUUGGACAUACCUACUCAUUCAAGGGUUUUUCUUUAUUUGUACCAUUUUCUACAUUGUAGAAUAAUAUUGAAGACUUCAAAACUAUGAAAUAACACAUAUGGAAUCAUGUAGUAAACCAAAAUGUGUUAAACAAAUCAAAAUAUAUUUGAGAUUAUUCAAUGUAGCCACCCUUUGCCUUGAUGUCAGCUUUGCACACUCUUGGCAUUCUCUCAACCAGCUUCAUGAGGUAGUCACCUGGAAUUCAUUCCAAUUAACAGGUGUGCCUUGUUAAUAGUUAAUUUGUGGAAUUUCUUUCCUUAAUGUGUUUGAGCCAAUCAGUUGUGUUGUGACAUGGCAGGGGUGGUAUACAGAAGAUAGCCCUAUUUGGUAAAAGACCAAGUCCAUAUUAUGGCAAGAACAGCUCAAAUAAGCAAAGAGAAACGACGGUCCAUCAUUACUUUGAGACAUGAAGGUCAGUCAAUCCGGAAAAUGUCAAGAACUUCAAGUGCAGUCGCAAAAACCAUCAAGCGCUAUGAUGAAACUGGCUCUCAUGAAGACCGCCACAGGAAAGGAAGACCCAGAGUUACCUAUGCUGCAGAGGAUAAGUUCGUAAGUUACCAGCCUCAGAAAUCAGCAAUUAACUGUACCUCAGAUUGCAGCCCAAAUAAACGCUUCACAGAGUUCAAGUAACAGACACAUCUCAACAUCAACUGUUCAGAGACUGCGUGAAUCAGGCCUUUGUGGUCGAAUUUCUGCAAAGAAACCACUACUAAAGAACACCAAUAAGAAACACGAGCAAUGGACAUUAGACCGGUGGAAAUCUGUCCUUUUGUCUGAGGAGUCAAAAUGUAAGAUUUCUGGUUCAACGGCUGUGUCUUUUAGAGACGCAGAGUAGGUGAACAGAUGAUCUCUGCAUAUGUGGCUCCCACCGUGAAGCAUGGAGGUGUGAUGGUGCUUUGCUGGUGACACUCAGUGAUUUAUUUAGAAUUCAAGGCACACUUAAACAGCAUGGCGACCACAGCAUUCUGCAGCGAUACACCAUCCCAUCUGGUUUGCACUUAGUGGGACUAUCAUUUGUUUUUCAACAGGACAUUGACCCCAAAACACACCUUCGGGCUGUGUAAGGGCUAUUUGACCAAGAAGGAGAGUGAUGGAGCGCUGCAUCAGAUGACCUGGCAUCCACAAUCACCAAACCUCAACCCAAUUGAGACGGUUCGGGAUGAGUUGGACGGCAGAGCGAAGGAAAAGCGGCCAACAAGUGCUCAGCAUAUGUGGAACUCGAAGACGGUUGGAAAAGCAUUCCAGGUGACUACCUCAUGAGACUGGUUGAGAGAAUGCCAAGAGUGUGCAAAGCUGUCAUCAAGGAAAAGGGUGGCUACUUUUAAGAAUAUCAAAUAUUUUGAAUUGUUAAACCUUUUUUUUUUAACAAUAUGAUUCUAUGUGUUAUUUCAUAGUGUUGUCGUCUUCUACAAUGUUGAAAAUAGUCCAAAUUAAGAAACUGUUGAAUGAGUAGGUGUGUCCAAAUUUUUGACUGGUACCGUAUUAUUUCUUAGUUCCAUUAUUUUACUUUUAGAUGUGUGUAUUGUUGUGAAUUGUUAGAUACUACUGCACUGUUAGAGCUAGGAACACAAGUAUUUCACUACACCCGCAAUAACAUCUGCUAAAAAUGUAUGUGACCAAUAACAUUUGAGUUGAAACCUCAUUAACCAAACAUGGAAUCGGUCAGGAAACACACCUUCAAGACUGACAUCUCGUUUUUUUCUAAUGAGCACAGAAAAACACCAUGUGCAGUGGUUCUUUAAAGAAAAGAGGACAAACCAAUGCAACAUUUAAUUAUAGAAAACA